rnacentral:ncRNA from 1 species
GGCGCCGCACCGCGAGCGCCCCGGACGAGUUGCGCGUCGUACCCGGCCUGACAAGACGACCGCCUU